rfam:Salmo salar isolate Sally breed double haploid chromosome ssa15, whole genome shotgun sequence.
AAAACGCACUACUGUAAGUCGCUUUGGAUAAAAGCGUCUACUAAAUAUAUGUUG